GCUUUACCAUGCAGUCGAACGGCAGCGCGGGGCAACCUGGCGGCGAGUGGCGAACGGGUGAGUAAUACAUCGGAACGUGCCCUGUGAUGGGGGAUAACUACGCGAAAGCGUAGCUAAUACCGCAUACGACCCAAGGGUGAAAGUGGGGGAUCGCAAGACCUCACGUCAUAGGAGCGGCCGAUGGCGGAUUAGCUAGUUGGUGAGGUAAAGGCUUACCAAGGCGACGAUCCGUAGCUGGUCUGAGAGGACGACCAGCCACACUGGGACUGAGACACGGCCCAGACUCCUACGGGAGGCAGCAGUGGGGAAUCUUGGACAAUGGGGGCAACCCUGAUCCAGCAAUGCCGCGUGUGGGAUGAAGGCCUUCGGGUUGUAAACCACUUUUGGCGGGGGCGAAAUAUUGAGUGCUAAUACCAUUCGGUGAUGACGGUACCCGCAGAAUAAGCACCGGCUAACUACGUGCCAGCAGCCCG
rnacentral:rRNA from 1 species